UUAUAAUGUUUUUCCUGUCAUUGUGGUGAAGUUAUUUGUAUUGUUAGUGUUUAUUCUGUAUUCGAAGUGAUAGGUGCUAGCUAUUGAAUUGAAGUAAUUAGCUAAGUCACUUGCAUUUCUAGUUAGGGUUUAUGCUAUACUUGACGUUGCUGUUAGAUGCUAUUUGAUUUGUCUGUUUUAGAUGCUGUUGUGCUAUACAGAAGUAGUAACAAUUCACUUCCAUUUAAUGAACUAAAGAAGCAUGCUUAAACAGGUAGAUUGUUUAAGUAGACACGUAAACUAUUGCGGCAACAUAGGAUCCAUUGGACCCCUUAUUAGAAAAGGGAAAGCAGUUUUCCAAACCUGUGCGUAGAACUUGACUCAUGUCGUUGCAACACGUGCAUGGGAUACUUCUAGGUUUCCAUGUAUCGUGUCUCUGAGGCCAGCUGGCCACAGGGUUCUGGUGGACUAAACCGCAUAUAUUUGUCACGUGGUUAUUAGAUUGCCAAAUACGCCAGCAUAAUACUAUAGACAUGUUCUGUGUUUUUCUAGUGUUUUUAUCCUCCAAUGUCAUUGUAUUCUAUGUUGUGCAUUUCAGUUACUUUAAUUGUCAAGAGAUGUUUUAAAAAAUGCUACAAACUCAAUAACCUUCGUAUUCCAUUGCAGAUUGCAUAAAACAAGAAUGAAUACUAUUUAGGAUCAAUCAAGAGUCUUCAUGAAUUAUUGACACAUUGCAUGCUAACAAGAGUAGGAUACAUACAUAUAUAUUGGAGUGUGUUAUUAGCAAUUGCAGUUGGGAUUAAUAUUAUCAGAUUAUAGUAAGUCUUGGUCGCUAUAUAUAUAUUGGAGUGCCUUAUUAGUAAUCGCAGUUGGGAUUAAUAUUAUCAGAUUAUAAUAAGUCUUGGUCACUGAUUAAUGUGGGGAUGCGUGGCUAGGUAAUGCAGAGACUAAUACAUAUGGUUCUGUAAAUGGCGGUUUAUCACGGGUAUUCUAGUCUUUUUAGGUUCUUUUAUUGUGUUUUUUUUAAGUAGCUAGCAUUAGUGUUUGGUAGAAUUUUCUUAAAAAUUUAAAACUGGUGUUAAGACCACUACCCGUGCUAAAAUAUGGUUCUGCUGAAGCAGCCUUGCAAUUCAAAGUAGUCUCAGCAAAACAAAUUUGAAAACCAUUGCUUCCAAUUUGCAAGUACCCUUAGAUAUAUCAGAGUGUCCCUCCACUCUUUUAAUGAGACAGCCUUAUGCAUUAUUCAAAUGAAACAUGUAAUGGCAUAUUCCUUCUUUUCUUUCCCUAGAAAAACAAUAAACUUGCCAUUUCCCUUUGGCAAUGUGAGAGAAAUGUAUGUUCUGGUGUCAGAAUUUUAUUUGAAAUUCAUUUGCAUUGAAUUAUUUGAAAUGUAAAAUAUUAUGUGUAGGAUGUUAGUUGAAGUGUUUAUUAGCAUCUUCCUUUUAAGGUAGUUCUAUCUUUCAUAUAGGAGAUGAUUCAGGUGGAUAUGUGUUGCAUUAGGCUAUAAAUGUUGAUCUGUGCUCACUCCACUCACCAUUUAAUGAUCCAGCUAGUGUUUCCACUGUACCUUUGCCCUCUCUUAAGUUACAAAAUGUGUUUAAGCUUAGAAGCUAUUUCUCUCUUUUUCUCUGCAUGGGGGGUGGUUGCUUUUGCACAUGUACAUGGACUAUUGUGUACA